rnacentral:tRNA from 1 species
GGGCGCAUAGUUUAAUGGUAAAACAUCGCAUUCACAUUGCGAAGACCCAAGUUCGAUUCUUGGUGCACCCA